rnacentral:rRNA from 1 species
UACGGGGGGAGCAAGCGUUGUUCGGAUUUACUGGGCGUAAAGAGCUCGUAGGCGGCUUGUCGCGUCGACUGUGAAAACUUGGGGCUCAACCCCAAGCUUGCAGUCGAUACGGGCAGGCUAGAGUUCGGUAGGGGAGACUGGAAUUCCUGGUGUAGCGGUGAAAUGCGCAGAUAUCAGGAGGAACACCGAUGGCGAAGGCAGGUCUCUGGGCCGAUACUGACGCUGAGGAGCGAAGCGUGGGGAGCGAACAGGA